rnacentral:tRNA from 1 species
ACCUGGCUGGCUUAGUCGGUAGAGCACGUGACUCUUGAUCUUGCAGUGGUGAGUUCAAGCCCCACGUUGGGUG